rnacentral:rRNA from 1 species
AUGCUGCGCCGCCGCUGCCUGGUUCCAGAGGACCAACGACGCAUCCAUCCCCAAGUGCCCCUGGCCAUGGCGGCCGUCGUUCAUGUCCACCUCCACUACCAUUACCUCCCCCCUCCUCCGUCCGUCGCCUCGCUCACCCGGCCUCUUCACCUUGCCAUGGCGCUCCCCACACCCUGCGCUCCUGCCUGCCCGCCUGCACCUGCCCCCUCGCCGCCACCAGCACAGAUGAGCGGGAGGCAAAUGAGGAGUUUGUGGUGGCCACAUACAAGCUGGUGCCCGUCGACGACCCCCGCGCACAACUCCACUUCUCCCUUGGGCCAUUUAGUUUCAGUUCAGUUCACUAGAUUUGGGAUAUCUGAUGAAAGACAUGAUUUCUUUUACACAUUGCAUCUCUCCUAUACCAGGUUAGGAAGAUUACUUGGAUGCUUUUCAGGCUUCUCCAGCAUUGACCGGGCAUGCUCUCCAGUAUGA